rnacentral:rRNA from 1 species
GGCCAAGUUUUUAAGGGCGCACGGUGGAUGCCUUGGCACCAGGAACCGAUGAAGGACGUGGGAGGCCACGAUAGUCCCCGGGGAGUCGUCAACCAGGCUUUGAUCCGGGGGUUUCCGAAUGGGGAAACCCGGCAGUCGUCAUGGGCUGUCACCCACAUCUGAACACAUAGGGUGUGUGGAGGGAACGCGGGGAAGUGAAACAUCUCAGUACCCGCAGGAAGAGAAAACAACCGUGAUUCCGGGAGUAGUGGCGAGCGAAACCGGAUGAGGCCAAACCGUAUGCGUGUGAGACCCGGCAGGGGUUGCGUAUGCGGGGUUGUGGGAUCUCUCUUGACCAGUCUGCCGGCUGGUCGGCGAGUCAGAAACCGUUGAUGUAGGCGAAGGACAUGCGAAAGGUCCGGCGUAGAGGGUAAGACCCCCGUAGUCGAAACGUCAGCGGCUUGCUUGAGAGACACCCAAGUAGCACGGGGCCCGAGAAAUCCCGUGUGAAUCUGGCGGGACCACCCGCUAAGCCUAAAUAUUCCCUGGUGACCGAUAGCGGAUAGUACCGUGAGGGAAUGGUGAAAAGUACCCCGGGAGGGGAGUGAAAUAGUACCUGAAACCGUGUGCCUACAAGCCGUGGGAGCGUCGGACAUCAGCUUGCUGGUGUCUCGUGACUGCGUGCCUUUUGAAGAAUGAGCCUGCGAGUUUGCGGUGUGUUGCGAGGUUAACCCGGGUGGGGUAGCCGUAGCGAAAGCGAGUCCGAACAGGGCGAUGGAGUAGCACGCUCAAGACCCGAAGCGGAGUGAUCUAGCCAUGGGCAGGUUGAAGCGGAGGUAAGACUUCGUGGAGGACCGAACCCACCAGGGUUGAAAACCUGGGGGAUGACCUGUGGUUAGGGGUGAAAGGCCAAUCAAACUCCGUGAUAGCUGGUUCUCCCCGAAAUGCAUUUAGGUGCAGCGUCGUGUGUUUCUUGCCGGAGGUAGAGCACUGGAUAGGCGAUGGGCCCUACCGGGUUACUGACCUUAGCCAAACUCCGAAUGCCGGUAAGUGAGAGCGCGGCAGUGAGACUGUGGGGGAUAAGCUCCAUGGUCGAGAGGGAAACAGCCCAGAGCAUCGACUAAGGCCCCUAAGCGUACGCUAAGUGGGAAAGGAUGUGGAGUCGCAGAGACAACCAGGAGGUUGGCUUAGAAGCAGCCACCCUUGAAAGAGUGCGUAAUAGCUCACUGGUCUAGUGAUUCCGCGCCGACAAUGUAGCGGGGCUCAAGCGUACCGCCGAAGUCGUGUCAUUCAUACAACAGGGCCAACGCCUGUAUGGAUGGGUAGGGGAGCGUCGUCUGCCGGGUGAAGCAGCCGCGUAAGCGAGUUGUGGACGGUUGACGAGUGAGAAUGCAGGCAUGAGUAGCGAUUCACACGUGAGAAACGUGUGCGCCGAUUGACUAAGGGUUCCUGGGUCAAGCUGAUCUGCCCAGGGUAAGUCGGGACCUAAGGCGAGGCCGACAGGCGUAGUCGAUGGAUAACCGGUUGAUAUUCCGGUACCCGCUGUGAAGCGUCAAACAUCGA